GGUGAUGAUAUUCAGUGUGUAUAAAGUUUCAGUUAUGCAAAAUGAGGAAGCCAAAAGAUGGGACAACCCUGCCCUAGGCCUUCACAUUCACUCUCCACUAACUCACUGACUCACCCAGAGCAACAUCCAGUCCUGCAAGCUCCAUUCAUGGCUGGUUUUGAACUGCUCGCCUCAAGUGAUCCUCCUGCCAGGGCCUCUCAAGUGUUGGGAUUACAGGUGUGAACCACUAUGCCCAGCCUCCUUUUUAACAGAAGGAAAAGUCAAAACUCAGAGAGGUUAUAUAACUUAUCAAGGUCAUGUAACACUACUCGGAUAAAUGGGAGAAAGAGUCUGGGGAAGUGGCUUCAGAAGAAUGAAUAUGAGACACAGAAUGUGAAUUACAGUGUCACUCUCUGAAAGAGAACAAAGUAAUUUUCUGAAGGGAAGCUGCAGAAUAUGGAAAAC
rnacentral:sRNA from 1 species